AUACGGAAGGUCCGGGCGUUAUCCGGAUUUAUUGGGUUUAAAGGGAGCGCAGGCGGAGAUGCAAGCGUGACGUCAAAUUUCGGGGCUCAACCCCGUCUCGCGUCGCGAACUGCGUCCCUUGGUUGCGGGAAGGGGAGGCGGAACUCGUGGGGUGGCGGUGGAAUGCAUAGAUAUCACGAAGAACUCCGAUCGCGAAGGCAGCCUUCCGGCCCGUCAACGACGCUCAUGCUCGAAGGUGCGGGUAUCAAACAGGAUUAGAUACCCUGGUAGUCCGCACAGUAAACGAUGGACACCCGCGGUUUGGCCUAUAUGGCUGAGCCGCCAAGCGAAAGCGUUAAGUGUCCCACCUGGGGAGUACGCCGGCAACGGUGAAACUCAAAUGAAUUGACGGGG
rnacentral:rRNA from 1 species